rnacentral:lncRNA from 1 species
GGUGGGUGGGGAGUUUGAUUUCAGGAUACGUAGUUUGCCUAAAGCAUCUGCCAGAUGCCUUAGUGGAUGUGUGUGCUGCUCAAAUAAACAGCCUCAGCUAAACUUUACCGAAAGCCCUCAAACCCACCCUUUUCAGACGGUUGGCCAAAUCUGUCUCGUCCCCAUCCAGAGCUUCCUAUUAGCAUCUCGAGGAGGAGGAGGAGGGAAGAGAAGGUCGAAGCCUGCAUGCAGCGCCUGGCAGAGGGCCAGCAGCUCCCGGAGCAGCAGUAGUAGCAGUAGCAGCAGCAGCAGCAGCAGCGGCGGCGGCGGCGGCGGCGGCGGCGGCGGCGGCGGCGGCGGCUCAGGCACCCUCGCCACCGGGCAGGGACCAGACACAGUAGUAGCUCCCCCUACUCCCUUACUCCCCUUAACCCUUAGGGCAAGAAGGGCGAGAAAGCAUGCCUGCGGACUGCGCUCACCUCGCUUCAGGGUAAAGGGGACGAAAGGGGUUUUCUCCUUUUUUCUCCUUUUUGGUGAGCUUCACCACGAGGGUCCGGACGCGUGGUGCCCACGGUUGGUGCAGACCCUGGUUAGACCUGGACGGCCAGCCUGA